CUAUGUCAUAUCUUUCCAAAGACGAAAGAGAUGAAAAAAAGAAUAAUAUAUAAAUAUAUAUAUUGUAAACAUAAAGAAUAAUAUAUAAAUAUAUAUAUUGUAAACAUAUAGAAUAAGAUAUAGAAUGAAUAACAUAGAUAAGUAUAUAGUUAUUAACUAUAUUAACUAUUAAUAAAUUAAUAUAUUAUUUCCAUUUCUAAAUAAUAAAUAGAAACAAGCAAAAUCAAAUUUCAUUUGAUCGGAUCAAAAAUGCUUUAGAAAUUUGAAAUUAGAAUUACGAAAUAUUCUUUUUGAAAUAAGGAAAAAAACUAUGGAUAAAUCCAAGCAAUUUUUUAGUAAAUCCAAGCGAUCUUUUAG
rnacentral:lncRNA from 1 species